AUGGCGCUGACGCAGGGGACCAAGCGGAAAGUCUGUUAUUACUAUGAUGGGGACGUUGGAAACUACUAUUAUGGCCAGGGCCAUCCAAUGAAACCCCACAGGAUCCGAAUGACCCAUAACCUCCUGCUGUACUAUGGCCUUUACAGAAAAAUGGAGAUCUAUCGUCCCCACAAAGCGAAUGCUGAAGAAAUGACCAAGUACCAUAGUGAUGACUACAUUAAAUUUCUGAGAUCUAUACGCCCAGAUAAUAUGUCUGAGUACAGCAAGCAGAUGCAAAGAUUCAACGUUGGGGAAGAUUGCCCCGUGUUUGAUGGAUUGUUUGAGUUUUGUCAGCUGUCUGCAGGAGGAUCUGUCGCCAGUGCUGUGAAGCUGAACAAACAACAAACAGAUAUUGCUGUGAAUUGGGCAGGAGGCCUUCACCAUGCUAAGAAAUCAGAGGCUUCUGGUUUCUGUUAUGUCAACGAUAUAGUCUUAGCCAUCUUGGAACUGCUAAAGUACCACCAGAGAGUGCUGUAUAUUGACAUUGAUAUUCACCAUGGAGAUGGUGUGGAGGAGGCCUUUUAUACCACAGACCGUGUCAUGACAGUAUCCUUCCAUAAAUAUGGAGAAUACUUCCCAGGAACAGGGGACCUGCGGGAUAUUGGUGCAGGCAAAGGCAAAUAUUAUGCUGUCAACUAUCCCCUCCGGGACGGGAUUGACGAUGAGUCCUAUGAGGCAAUAUUUAAGCCGGUGAUAUCUAAAGUGAUGGAGACGUUCCAGCCCAGCGCAGUUGCCCUGCAGUGUGGAUCAGAUUCUCUGUCAGGGGACAGGUUGGGCUGUUUUAAUCUGACCAUCAAAGGUCAUGCCAAGUGUGUGGAGUUCGUAAAGAGUUUUAAUUUGCCCAUGCUGAUGUUAGGAGGAGGUGGCUACACAAUCCGCAAUGUGGCUAGAUGCUGGACCUACGAGACGGCUGUAGCUUUGGACACUGAAAUUCCAAAUGAGCUUCCGUAUAAUGACUAUUUCGAAUACUUUGGACCAGACUUUAAACUCCACAUCAGUCCUUCAAAUAUGACCAAUCAGAACACCAAUGAGUAUCUUGAGAAGAUUAAGCAGCGUCUCUUUGAGAACUUACGCAUGCUUCCUCAUGCCCCUGGCGUCCAGAUGCAGCCAAUUCCUGAGGAUGCUGUUCAGGAAGAUAGUGGAGAUGAAGAUGAAGAAGAUCCUGACAAACGCAUUUCAAUCCGCAAUUCUGAUAAGAGAAUAGCCUGUGAUGAAGAAUUCUCAGAUUCUGAAGAUGAAGGAGAAGGUGGUCGCAAAAAUGUUGCCAACUAUAAGAAAGCCAAGCGUGCAAAAACAGAAGAGGAUAAAGAGGAGGAGGAGAAAAAAGAUGAGAAAGAAGAGGAGAAAACAAAAGAGGAGAAAGCAGAACCUAAAGGGGUAAAGGAAGAGACUAAAUCAGCCUAAGAUGACUGCAGCUGGACAAUACCUGUCAGUACAUAGUUAUCAUAGAAUGGACACGGCCUGGACAGAUGCAGUGCGAGUUUCUCCCGCGCCGCAUCACCCUAUGCGUCUGUCCCCUUACCUGGAGAGAGCACCUGGACUAAGGAGAGAAUUCAGUCCAUUCACUCCUCUGUGUUGCUGGGAUGGAUGCUGAGGCACGCUGCAGGACCAGGCUUUGUGGAAUGGGACUGAUGCCAUCAGUUUGCAGAAGCCAUCAAACAGUCACGAGAUGGUCUAGUCUUCACUGCACCUCAAACUAUGCUACCCCAGAUGUGACGGUCACCCUGGAUCCCCAGCCAGUUGCUGCCUGACCUAGUGUUCUUAAUGCCUCCACCGCAGCGAGCGGCUGUUCCUGAGCAUUUGAUCCCCGGCUGAAAUGCCCCACCGCACCCGACACGCAGAUCUGGGCUCCAGACCAAGCAGCUGGCCACACAAUGAGUCCAUCUGGCCUCCUUGGGCUGCACCUCACCCUGUCGGUCUAUAAGUCGCCAUCUGCUCUUAAAGGCGAAGUGUGUUGUUUCUCUGCGGUGCACGAGUGCUCCUGUUCCCUCACCUCGAGGGAUUAUCCCAGGCCAGGCUGGGUCCUGCUCUCUAGCAAGCACAUCUCCACUCAGGCCUGCUCCCCGAAGCAGAUCCCGCAGGCUGUAGCAGCCUGGCAUUGCUAUGGGAAGCUCAGUGAUUUGGAGGAAGGGCUGGUUGCUGUGCUGUGGAGGUCCUGCACCAGCGAUCCCAAUCCCUUCAGACUGGCAAGGAGCCGAUGAGCAAGCUCUGUAAGCUGAGCAACACGGCAGGGCUCGCAUCCCAAGUCUGGGCUCCGGCAGGUCCCUUUUUCGCAUGUGCCAGGAGACUGGUGAUGUUGGCUGGCUAGCAAGAAAGGACUGGACAGCGCUGGCAAAGUCUCCCCAAGGGAGACCCAAGCCAGGACAUCUCAGGUGCCUCAGAGUAGGGGGAGCUGGGGUGGGUGCUGGUCUAUGCAGCAUUGGCAAAGCUGAGCACAGAAUACAUUCCUUUUGCCAUGAGAGACCAGAGCUAGCCCAGCUGAUGCAAGCUACACUUGAGGCAUGGGGGCUAAAGGGGGGGAUCACAGUUUAGGGUUAGGAUGGUACCAUGCCCUUAAGCAGCCUGGCACUGCUCCACUGGGGCUUUGGAUGCUCCUUUGAGCUUUGGGGACUGUUGAGGCACAGCUGCCUCCCUCUUGGGGCUUGGCAAAGAAGGAGGGGUCUGUGUGCCCGCUGGAGUGUGGCAGGGUGAGCGUCCUCCCAGGUGCUCCAUCCUCCGCCCAGCCUGGCAGCUCCGCCGGUGUCGAUGAAAGCAGAGACAGAUGGAGAGAGCAGCGCAGGGCUCAGCUGGGACCAGAAAGCAUGGAAAUGGCAGAGAAUGGGCUGAGGCUCCUGUUACAGAGACAAACAGAAAGGGCAAAGGGGUGGGUUAGGAAGAGGGGGUGAGGGUGGGAAUGAAAGGGGAGGAGAAGGGGGCCAUGGCAGAAAGAAGAGCCAGAUUAAGAGGUGGCAAGGGAGUGAAGGGAAUCGGCUGCAGGGGGCUGGGGGGGCAAUGAAGCUGGAUGGAUCGAGGGAAACGCAAAGCACACGGAUCUCUUGUAUCUUCAUUCCAGCCUCACUCAUCCCUUCUCACCUCCCCCUUCCCCUUGCUCAUGGUGUCAGUCAGCCCCACACCUGUUUGAUUGCUUUAUUAUUAGCUUUUCUUCUUGCUGAUUGUCUAAUUCUGGUGUGCCAUUUGGAAGAAAAAGCCCUCCUCUCUGAAUCUGCUAUUAAAGCCAGCUGUUUCUCCCUGUGCAGGAGGGGUGGCUGGGUCUGUCCCAAAAGCUGUUAAUCUCCAGGAGCAAAGGCACUCGACACAAAUUAUUCUGAAUCUAUUCUAAUUGGUUUUAUUUCCUCCCCCUUCUUGUAAAAUGAAUUUGUUUAGAUGACAAAGUAUGUAUCUGUGUGUGUGUGUAAUUACCAAUGAGGAUCUGCAUAUGCUCAUUUAGUUUUUGGCAGCUACAUGGUGCUGCUGAUUAAGGAAUAUGAAAUGAACCUGCAAUGGGAAUUUAUGGGCCAAAUUCUGCUUUUUUUUUUUUUUUUUUUUACUGCUGUGAGACUCUCUUGCCCAGGUUUCUUCAGACUGCAAAGUCUAACUGAGAAGGGCAUUCAGUUUUAGACAUUGUAAUACUCUGGUGUGCUUGUAUUUUGGGGGGGGGAAGGGUAUGGCAGUGCCCCCUGCUGGGUAGAAUAGACACUGUUCAGCUGUGUGUCAUAAGUCCUAUAUCCCCAGCUGUGAAUAAGGGGACUUGUGUAGCACUGUCUUCAACUUCUAAAGCUUUUGGAGCAAAGGCGUGCGAUGUAUUCUGUGCUCACCUUAACUGCAUAUGGGGUAAGGGCAUAAUUCUGCUUUACAGUAUAACAGGAUACUGGUCCCAACUUGCCGUAAUAGACUCUGGUGAUCUACACGUUGCUUCAGUGCAUAGGGACGCUCAGCCUCUGUCUACUUUGUAAGGGAAAUGCUGUGUUUAAUUGCAGAAUUAGUGGAAAGCUGCCAAUUUGGGGAAUUUUAAAGCAAGGUCCUGUCAGUUUUGAAGCUGCUGUGAGAGGCACGGGGGACUCGGAGGUGUGGAAAGCUUAGCUAGGCUGCUUCGUACAGAGCUGUGCUUACGUGGAGUUUGGGUAAGCAGGCAGCUUUCUGUGCUUUUGUGUUUAGUCCCCAGGCUAAGCGUGUGUAUGGCAUACUCGGUGCCUGUUCAGGGCAGGGCUGUGACAUCUCCCUGUAAAACAAGUGAUUUGUUCUUGCCCAGGAAAAUCAAGCAUGGGCCGCAUCCUUUAUCUGGAACCACUCAGGACCUGAGAUGCAAAGCUUAGAUUCAGAAAGGGAGCUCAUUGAUGCCAAAGCCUGGGCAUGAUCUUUGCAUCUGAAGGCAUAGUUGGGGUCCUAGUCUGUCUGAGACAUGAGGUUCCUGAUGCAGGUGUCAUCUAAGGACCUUGCAGAGGCAGAAUACCAAAGAAAGAGCUAGUGCGGUCCUGGAAAAAAGAUACCAGUUGCUGCAGUUUUCUAUGCUUUUCUCCAUGGGCAAAGCCCCAAGGGAUGAGAAAGCUCAGAAGAUGUGUUCUUCAACCUGAGAAGGCUCCUUGCUGUCAGAUGGCCAGGGACACCUGGGAAUAAAUACUGCUGCAUUCUUGGCCUGAGUGAACAGGAUAUGCCUUGUAAAUCUCUUUAGCCAUCUGUGUCCACUAAAACUCUAGCUAAAUAGGUCCCUCCUUGACUGAUCAGUGAUGACCACUGACAAACCUGGCCCUCUUUCAGCUGCAGAACCCAGAACGGUUUGCAGAGAAGGGCGAGUACAACUAUCCUCACUUCAGUAGUAGGGAAACUGAGGCAGAAGCUGACGUGACCUAAAGAGGCAGAGCAAGCUUGUAGAAGAGCUAGGAUUUGGAGCGCAGGUCUUUUUGCAGCCAGCUCCACUGCAGAGAAUUGGGUUUUUUUGGUAUGAAGGCAUUUAGAAAGGUGGAAAGGCCAGAGAGAGUUGUAUUUUCCCUGUCUACAAGCUGCUGGGCACUGACGGAGCAUGGAGAGAGAGUCCAUGGGAGAGGAAAACUCAAAGCCUUUUGGGGGGAACUGAUGCUUCAUACUUGGACUGUAAGUUUUGAGGGGCAAGAACUGCUUCCCUGUUUAUACAGUGCCUAGCACAGUGAGACCCUGAUUCACACUUGAUGCUCUCCAGGGCCUCUGUAAUCUAUAAUAAAAGCAAAACGAUUCCUAGAGGGGAAGAAAAAGAUGGAAAUGCUUUUCUGGCUGCAUAGCUCUGUGCGUGCUUCAAGGAGAGGGGGCAAGCCCUAGGCCGCAGCAGAGAGAACAGACAGACAAGGUCAACCCGUCACACUUUUCCUUGAAGAAGCAAGGACUUUUAUUUGUGCUGAUUAUCUUUUAUUGGAUCAAGUGCACUGCUGGGAGAGAUGACAGAUGAGCUUCCUCAGGUCACAAGGGCACUUUGCGCUUGAAAGUUUUAUCUAACGUCUCUCCCACCUCUGCAGCUGGUCCCGUAAAAGGUAUCGCCCCCCGGCCCCGUUGCUUCUCCUAUGUGUCCUGGCCCAUUUUGGCGAUAACAGCACCCCAACCCUACUACACGUUUCCUUGUCUUUGCAAGGAGAUUUAGGCUUGGACGGCGUGUGGUUCUUGGUUUGCGGUCACCAGAAUGACCUGCUAAAACUAGAGGCGCUGCCUCCGCUUUUAACCGGGUGCUUGGUUUGUGUGAUAUCAUCCUUAUUCCUGGCUGAUUUAGUGCGCAACCUCCCCUCCCCAUCCCAGCAUGUGUGUGUUUUAUACACACGCACUCCCUUUUAAAUGUAACCCCAUUCCCUAGAGCUCCCUGGAUGCCUGGGCUCGUUGGAUGUGCUGUCCUUUAUAUUUGGACAUGCCCCAGAUAGCACCCGGCAGCCUGGCUGGUUGAGGUCAUGGUGCUAUUAGAGGCUGCAGGCGAGAGGGAGCUGAGUACAAGUGCCUGAGCACCCAGACCAACUUCAGACUUUCUCAGCCCGACGAAGGGCGUUUGUAACCGAAAGCUUGCAAAGAAGAAUUUUCCCAACUGUGUGAGUUGGUCUGAGAAAAGGUAUCGGAUUUACCCAAAGAACGUCUGCCCACGUCCUUAGACCACCACGGCUACAACCUACACCCCUGAGCACCCCUCCGAUUUGGGCCUCGCUUUCCCUAGCAGACUAUCGAGGGACAAACCGGCCCAGCCAAUGACACACGGCAGCAGAGCAUUACCUCAUCAGGGCACUCACUCAUUGGAUGGACAAUGCUUGGAGGACAGGGCACCGUUACCCAGCAACUACCGAGAACGAAUUAACCCCUUGGUGGCUGUGGCAUGUGCAGCAGCGAGAAUGGCAGCUUGCUUCCCAUGGCGGGCUCGUCCGUAGGGCUCAAGGCCUGGCUGCUUGCUCCUCGGGGAUCCUGGAGGGCAACCGAGGGAGCAGGGAGACUGGGGGACAGCGAGAAGAGGGAGGGGGAAUGGCCAGUCGGUAUGCGCAAGCGAAGGCAGCCAGGCCCUGCGUGAGCCUCCUUGGAGCAGAGCGAAACCUGCCUCGGCGUGAGACGCUGGGAGGGCAAAGAAGCCCUUAAUUAGCUGCUUCAGGGUUGGGGCUUUAUUAGUGGGAUAAAAGGUUGUUAGGGAAGAAUUAAAGCUCCCAGCCUCCAGGUCCUGGGCAAUUACCAGCGCAGCCGGGCUAAGCCGUGCUCAGGAAGGCACCCUGUCUGGUUUGGGGGGGCCUCUUGGCCCCCACCGUUUGCUGACUCCCUCCUCUUCCUCAGUCGGGGCCUGCCCAGCCUUUCCCACCUGCUGCUCCUCUCCUCUGGCCAAGCCCCUUGCCAGAGGAGAGGCUGCAUGGGGCUGUCUGGACGGGCGACUCCGCAGCGCCUGUUCUGAAUCGGGGUACCCGCAGCAUGAGCGGGCAGACAAGCCCAGCUGCCCCUUUGUCCCCAAGUCACACGGCAUCCUCCUGGGACGGGACACAGCUGCAAUGCCUGUCUGCAGAGCCUGGAGUGCUGGACCAGCGCUGACGAGUCCGUCCUCACAUCCGCACUUGCGGGGAUGACCAGCAUCCUUCACAUCCCUCCGAAGGGACACCCAGGCCUGGAGCUACGUCACCGUCGCAGCCUGAGCCCAGGACCCCUGUCUCAGCCUCCUGCUCUGAGCACUAGCCCAGUACAUGGCUCUAUCUCCGAGUGCUCUCGUGACCGACCGAUUGGGGUCCCACCCUGGUCCUCGCAUGCAGCUCUCCUGGCCUGAGGGCCCGGCAGAUGCUCAUGGACCAGCUGCCCACCGCAGCCACAGGCUAAGUGCUGCCACUCUGCUCCAAGUCUCUCUGCUGCUCAGGAUCUGGUUGCUCCCUCCCCGUGUCUCUACC